CGGACGGGUGAGUAAUGUCUGGGAAACUGCCCGAUGGAGGGGGGUAACUACUGGAAACGGUAGCUAAUACCGCAUAAUGUCUACGGACCAAAGCGGGGGACCUCCGGGCCUCGCGCCAUCAGAUGAACCCAUAUGGGAUUAGCUAGUAGGUGAGGUAACGGCUUACCUAGGCGACGAUCCCUAGCUGGUCUGAGAGGAUGAUCAGCCACACUGGGACUGAGACACGGCCCAG
rnacentral:rRNA from 1 species